GAGACUUGUUUAUAUGUGUGUGGAAAACAAACACAAAAAAUAGAUAAAUAAAUACAGUUUAGGUGCAGGAGGUUGAGUGACGGUGAAUAUCACAUUGUCAAGCAGGAGCGAGCUGCUCACUUCUUCCUCCGUUUCCUCAGUCAGCUUAGUGGAAAAGCAAAAUGAGUUACUCGGCUGGAGGCACCUUGCUAGGGACAGAGGCUCGUGUUUACCUUCCACGGCUGAAUUUUUUCACAGAUGUUCGGUGGCAUGUAAUUUAAGGGUCAUUUCCCCCAGAAGCUCCAGCUGAGAUCCUACAUACACUUUGGAAAAACUCCAGCAGGCAGUGCCAAAUAUCCCCAGCUGGAGACAACAUGGCCGGCCUGCAAUUGUCAUCAAACUUCUGUAAGACGUUAAAACUCUGUCUCAGUCGACGAGAAGCCUCAGCAGGACGAGGAGCAACAAACACAUUUUUCCCAGUAGCUGAAAAAGCCAAAACUCCUCCUUCUUCUGUGUGUUUGCUUCUGCUGCUGGAUUUUAAUAUAAUUUUAUCUGUGAUCGAUGUGUCGUCAUGGGUUUGUGUCUUUCAAAUUACUUUUUAUAUCAUAUUGAAUAUAUGUUGUUUUUUUGUAAGAAUAUUAAUGUACCAAGGCGGGAUAUCGCUGCAUCACAGGUUCUUAAUCUUUAAAAGUUAGCUUCGUGUAAACGACAAAGAAUAAAAUCACCACCAUGAACAAG